AAUUGAAAUGCUCUCAAAACUUCGCCAUCGCCAUCUUGUUUCUUUGAUUGGUUAUUGUGAAGAGAACUGUGAAAUGAUCCUAGUAUAUGACUACAUGGCUCAUGGUACCCUUCGUGAGCAUCUCUAUAAGACCCAGAAGCCUCCUUUACCUUGGAAGCAGAGGCUUGAGAUUUGUAUUGGUGCUGCUCGUGGGUUGCACUAUCUUCAUACUGGUGCGAAGCAUACUAUUAUCCACCGUGAUGUGAAAACCACUAAUAUCCUCUUGGAUGAGAAAUGGGUGGCAAAGGUUUCUGAUUUUGGGUUGUCUAAAACAGGUCCUACAUUGGAUCACACCCAUGUGAGUACCGUGGUGAAGGGCAGUUUUGGAUAUCUGGAUCCAGAAUACUUCAGAAGGCAGCAACUGACAGACAAAUCUGAUGUGUACUCAUUUGGU
rnacentral:misc_RNA from 1 species